AUUGAACGCUGGCGGCAUGCCUUACACAUGCAAGUCGAACGGUAACAGGUCUUCGGAUGCUGAUGAGUGGCGAACGGGUGAGUAAUACAUCGGAACGUGCCUAGUAGUGGGGGAUAACUACUCGAAAGAGUGGCUAAUACCGCCUGAGAUCUACGGAUGAAAGCAGGGGAUCGCAAGACCAUGUGCUACUAGCGCGGCCGAUGGCAGAUUAGGUAGUUGGUGGGAUAAAAGCUUACCAAGCCGACGAUCUGUAGCUGGUCUGAGAGGACGAUCAGCCACACUGGGACUGAGACACGGCCCAGACUCCUACGGGAGGCAGCAGUGGGGAAUUUUGGACAAUGGGCGCAAGCCUGAUCCAGCAAUGCCGCGUGCAGGAUGAAGGCCUUCGGGUUGUAAACUGCUUUUGUACGGAACGAAAAGCCCUGGGUUAAUACCCUGGGGUCAUGACGGUACCGUAAGAACAAGCACCGGCUAACUACGUGCCAGCCGCCGCCGUAAAAC
rnacentral:rRNA from 1 species